rnacentral:misc_RNA from 1 species
CGAAGGCGGGAAAUUUAGAUUCUGGUAAAAAUAACUAUUUUUGAGGAUUUUAAAAACCUAUAGGCACCAAUUAAGCCUGGUAAACAGAAAUGGAAGAAAAAAGUGCUUUCUGCGGCGAUAAAAACUUGCUGAAUUUAAGUUAGUUUGGAAGAAUACUAUUUGAAUAAGUCAUGACAUCUCGAAGGAUUCAGCGAGUUUCCGGGAUUCGUUCAGAAUUCAUCACCAGAUUAACAAAGAAUCGUGUCUUAACUUGUAAGGAUCUGUUGUCAAAGAAUCCACUUGAGCUACUAAAAUUCACUGGUGCUAGUUACAGGGAAGUACAAGAAAUACAAAGAGCUGCAAGCAAGGCUGUUGUACCAAAAGUUUCAACUGCUCUUGAACUUCGACAGAACUCAUCUAGUCAAGCAGCAUUUUUCCCAACCUCUCUUCUACCUCUUGAUAAGCAAUUACAUGGUGGUUUACCAUGUGGGACCAUAUCUGAAAUAACAGGACCUGCUGGUUGUGGCAAGACACAGUUCUGCAUCAUGCUUAGUAUCCUAGCAACCCUACCAGUAGACAAAGGGGGAUUGGAAUCCAAUGUUAUCUAUAUUGAUACAGAAGCAGCAUUUAGCGCUACUAGGUUAGUUGAAAUGGCUGAAAGUCGUUUUCCUGAACUUUUCGACUCUCAGAGCUCUGUGCUGGCCCUCACAGAGAAGAUCCAUGUCUUCUGGGAACCAACCUGCAGUGCCUUAUGGGAAAGGCUACAGACAUUAGAAGAAGAGGUCAUAGCUAAGAAAGUAAAGCUAAUUGUAUUGGAUUCCAUAGCAUCUGUAGUAAGGAAGGAAUUCGAUAGCAGAUCAUCAAAGAAUAUUACUGAAAGGACUAAUUUAUUAUCCAAGGAGGCAGCUAUACUAAAGUAUAUUGCAGAGACUUUCAACAUACCGGUUGUAGUAACCAAUCAAAUAACUACUCGAUACAAUGAAGUAGACCCAUACAGUGACAAAAUCCUUCAAGAAGUGGCCGACUUAGAUGGCGGAGACAUAGAGACUGACGAUGAUGGCUCAAGUCACGUGAUGGCUGCCUUGGGUAACACGUGGUCUCAUGCUGUUAAUACCCGACUCAUUGUCCAGUACUUGGAUGAUUUGUACAGACAGAUUAUAGUAUCCAAAUCCCCAAUAGCUCCAUUUGGUAUCUUUACUUAUACCAUUCAGACCAAAGGCGUGGUGUUGGUGGAGCCAGCCAAAGCUGCUAAGUUGCAUUCAGACAAAGAUCGACUUCAAAGUUCUGGGAAUCCUUCACUUCAACCAAUUCAAGUACGCUCUAGCUUCACCUGGUCGGAUUAAUGAAAUCUUUGGCUAUACUAUAAGUAGAGAGUAAAUACAAAAUAGAGAAAGAAAAAAUGAACCUCAACUUACCAGGAAUUGUAGUGUAACCGAAAGGAAGGUAAACGAGAACAAGAAGUAACCAAGCCGGACGACUGCAGAGCUGGUAAUCAAAUAUUGUUCAGGUUCUCCAGUUCGAGGGCCACACAGGAUUGUUAGCCACUGGCUACCCUCGUAAAACAAGGACGAUUUUAAUUUCAUUAUGUUAGAUAUUCCUUUUCUUCUAGAAUAAAGUGAUGUGCAAUCAUACAA